GGAACCACGCCGUCUCGUUGGGCAUCAGUGGGCCCGUAUCGGCAUGGACCGGAUAGCCAUCGUGGACUGGGCCCGACCAGACCGGCGUAUGUAUAGCGUCUAAUUAGAGGCAUGCGUUUUCUUUUUCACCUGCGGACAUUUUUGCUUCUGUAUAACAUCGAGCGCAGCUCAGCCAUUGAUUGCUUAGGAUAAAGCUAUAUCUUGCCCGAGUGUUUCUACCAGCUCCAUCACCCAUUUUUGGAGCCGUUCGAUUUUGUCUGGGCACGCAUCUGGGGUCGUCCAUCUGGGUGGUGCCGGUCUAUCCUGUUCUUUUUUUAUUAGCUUCUAUGGGCCCAUAUUGUCAGUCUUUAUUUGUUUGUUUUUUGGAAACCACGCCCAUUUUAGCUGUGGGUGGCAGCUAGCCCAGGUCGCUUUCCCCAUUUUUGCUUUUCCCGUUUGUUAUCGAGGGCGCUCUGCUCAGAGCGAGGGGCUCUCUCUCGCCGCGCUCAGAUGGCUACUAGAAGACGCAGAGAGCUACCUGAUUAUGGUAUGAGUAACAUAGGAGAAGAAGUUGAUGACGCCCCCAUUGAUGAAUGUUCAUCCGAUUCUGAUGGCGCUGGACUAUCCGAGCCUGAUGGUGAUCCCGCUCAAAGUGAAGGAUCUUCCUCUAGUGAUGACCAAGCUUUGCAGCGAAAACUGUACAAGGAAGUUUUAAUAGAUUAUGAAAGGCUUAAAGAAUUGAAAAGGAAACUCAAGUUGUCUGUAACCCUUGAGGCAGUUUGCUGAAUCUUCAAAUGUUGCUUCCUCAUGUCGCUCAAAGUCAAAAGUUUCCGACACAGUACCCUGCAAAAGGUGCUCCAGUGUUAGCUAAUCUUGUCUGCCCUAUACAAAAAAGAUACUUAAGUUAUGCUCAGGGAUCAUAACUUUUUCGUAUCUGAAUAUGGAUAUACUUAUAUAUCAAUCACUAUUUUCUUUUCUGGUUUUUACAUAUGGAAUAUGUUGUAUUUACAUGACCAUCAUAGCUGUAAAUUCAGAUAUAUUGAACUGUAAAAACACAUAACCAGCAUAUGGAUGUUCACUGUGUGAUCUGAAGUUGGA